UUUAGGUUCUUCAUUUACAUAUUACAUAAUUGGGAGAUUCAUGGCUGCUGCAACCUAAUGAGCAAAUUGUGCACUACACAAGCAUAUCACAUUGGAAGAAGAGAUGCUGGUUGUAAGUAAAAGAAAAGAGAAGUAGAUAAAAUAUCAAUAAUGCACUCUCACUGACUGUAUUUGCAUUGACCUACCAAAAAUAGUGACAGAAAUGUUACAUGCAAUCCAGCAGAUGCUCAGAAAAUUAUUGGUCUUCGAUUUUUCUGGAGGAACUGUAGUAGUGAAUUCCUAGAAUAUCCAUUCCCCUCUUUCAGAUGUCCAGGCUUUUCUCUCCACUAACAAGACAAAUUUGAAGCACUCACUGGCUAAUUGUUCAACCAACUCCUAACUACUAUUAAGAAGUUUAUGACCUAGCAAUAAAGACUAAACUUGGAAUUGCCUGGCUUUUGUUUUUCUAUUGCCUAUGAUCGUAAGCAAAAACCCAGGUCCACCUCCUCAAAUAAAUGUAAACAUGUGAUUGUAUGCAUAUAUGAAACCACACUCCAAAAAAGGACAGAGGCAGGAAUAAGUUUACUAGCAGUUAAUUAAAGCUUACUGUCUUUCUCAUUUAUAAAAUUGAUCUGUCUAUAUACUGUAUAUACCAACUAUUCUGUUUUGUAUACAAACAACGUCGAAAUGUAUUAGUACACCUACAUUUAAACUCCCUCACUAAGGGAAAGUUUUGUCUAACUAAUCCAUUACAGGUUUUUUAGGAUAUUAAUAACUAUGUAGAUAAAAGUGACCUCAUAGAUUUUCAAAAAGCCUUUAAUGAAGUUCCCCUUAAAAAAUGUCUCAAGAAACUUAAUAACUAUGGAAUACAAAAAGCAGGCCCUUUUACAGAUAAGCAACUAACUGACGAGUAGGAAUAAAUGGACAUUUUUCAUAAUGGAGUGGGGUCAAUAGCAAAUGGGAGAGAAGGAAGAAGGAACACUUAGAAAAAAGGCAGACUAAAAGUGACCACACUAGAAAUUUGUCAUGGGUAGAGCACACAUCUUGAAAAAUACAGACUGUCCAUAAUUACUUUUUUACUAUAAUGGAGCUCAAAAAUUAUUUUGAAAAUAAACUCACCCAUCUGUUAUGUUUGGUUUAAUUCAGCACAUCCUAUUAAAGAUGAGCAAUAAAAUAACAAUUUAUGAGUUGUAAAAUUAGGGGAAAACAAAUCCUUUGUUGUGCUUCUGUCUCUUCACUUUUACAUACUUUUUCGUGUAACAAGGUUUUGCAAUAAAGAAAAGAAGAGAAAGAACACAUUUCUACUGUAGAAAAGAGAAGUUAUGAUGAAAUUAUAUAAUGAAUACAGUGACCUCCAGUAAAAGUCAUCUUUCUUGCAAUUAUAUAAGCAGGGAUUAAUGAGCCUUUUUAAUGUAAAACCCCCAAAUCAACAUCUUUGGUCAACUAGUGUUAAAUCUGCAAUCUUUUAUGUACAAAUCUGCUUCAGAUUUUUAUGCCCAAUUACUUCUUAAAA